CCUGUGUCUCUGCGCCUCUCUCUCUCUCUCUCUGUGUAACUAUCAUAAAUAAAUAAAAAUUUUAAAAAAAAUGUUUAAAAAAAUUAAAAAAAAAAAAAAAAAGAAACUCCAAAUAGAAGAGAAGAUAGUAAGCGAAAACCUAAACACCUGGCCAUUUAUGAACUGCAAAUCCCAAAGCGUGGAAAAAUAUUUGCAGAGAAGAUCCUGGAACCCUGGUCAAGGAGGUGAGAGAGCGGGGGAGAAAAAGAAAGGAACCGAAGAACUAGAAGGCUGCAGAUGUCCUGAUGCUGAGAAAAGAGGAAAAGGCCAGAAGCCUGAGGAUACGUCUUACAGGGUUAAAAUCCAGGUGUUGGCAAGGCUGCAUUUCUUCUGGAGGCCCCAGGGGAACAUAUGCCAGGCCGGUUUCAAGCUUCUCCAGGCUACUGUGUUCCUUGGCCUCUGGCUUCAUCCAUCCUCAAAGCCAGCAGCAUAGCAUUUUCCAGUCUCGGAAAGACCUGCAUUUCGAUUUUCUUUUAUUUUUUUAAUCGGCUGCACAAGCACAGGAUGAAGGAAGUGUGGCUUGAGAGCGGUGCCUAUGGAAAAGGCUGGAGGCUUUCAGUCAUCGUCAGUUGGAAUUGAACCAGUAGGAAUGGAGUAGCUACCAGAAAAGACAGUGGUUCUCCCCCGCCCCUUCUUAUUUUAGGUGCGAAAGGGUGAAACUGGAAAGCAUGUUUCUCUCCCUGUAGCCAUCUCUCUCCCCAGGAGGAAUCAGCCUCCCGUUAACAGCUUACAGUAGAGCCUCUGAGAGGUGUUCUAUGCACAUAAAAGCAAAUACAUACUUUAAACUUAAAAUCCCUCUUUUGUAGUAUUCGAAUUGCAGUAUCUAUUUCGAUCUAAUACUGGAUUUUACAUUCCAUUCCACUGAUCUCCUUCUUUUAAUAUAUUUGAAAGAGAUUGUAGUUUAUUGAUCUUUUAAAUUACAUUUCAAGUGAAAGCAAUAAAUAUCUGUUGGGAAAAGUCUGGGAAAUAGAAAAAAUUAUACAGAGAAAAUAAAUAUUAUCCCUGAACCUACCAUAAAUAACUAAAUAUUUUGGUGUUUAUUCAUCCAGUCUUUUCCUAUGUAAUUGUAUUUUUUUACCCAACUGAGAUGAUACUAUGUAAGUCUUUUUUUUUUUUUUUUUUUUUUUUUGCUACUAUGUAAGUCUUAAUUUUCCAACUGCCAAAUCUAGUGUGACCUCAGUGCUUUAAGUGGUGGAACCAGUGAUCAUCUUACCAAACCAAAUCCACUCCUCUUUUGCCGUCUUCCCAGAUACCUGUGCAAGACAUGGACUCUUGAGGCUCCUUCCCAACCUCCUCAUCCUAGUCCCUAAGCCCUAUUUCCCCUUCAUAGACUCACAGGCCCCCAACUGUGAAAUCCUGUCAAUAUACACUUGUAGAAGACCCAGAGAGGGGAAAAGAAUUUGUAAAGGUUAGAAUUUUUUAACUGCAAGAAACAGGAUUCAACUCAAAAUGGUUCAACCAAGUAGUAAAUUUAUCACCUCCCUUAAUGAGAGGUCCAUAGAUAGAUAGGGUAAAUCCAGAAUGUGUUAAUUCAGUGGCUCACUGAUAACAUCAAGGACCGUGAUCCUUGCCAUCUGUCCGUUCUGUCAUCCCCAGUGUAUCAGCUUUUGUCCUUACACUUUUCCCCACAUGGUUGCAAGAUGGUGGCAAUAGUUCCAAGUACCAUCUUCUCACACAAAUUACAUAAAGCUCAGAAGAGAGCAUGCCCCUUCCCGAUCCCACAUUGCCCAAAGCAGAAGCUGAGAAUAGUUGGGAAAGGGAGGAGAGCAUUUUUGGUUGUCACAAUGAUCAAAGGACACUUUUGGCAUCUAGUGGGCAGUGGCCAAAGAUGGUAGAUGUCCUAUGAUGUUUAGGACAAUUGAUUAAGUGAAACAUUAGCUCUCAUUCCAUACAACAUUAAUGUAGGUAAAAACAAAACAAAACAAACCUGUUUUUACAUCCAAAACAAGCUUCUUUGCAUGGCUAUAACGUACACUGAAUUUUCCAAGAAUAUAACUUCCCUGUAAAUGGGGGAAGGAUUGUAAUUUGUUUUGUUUGCAAUUUCACCAAGACUCCUUCAGCGUUAGACGUCAUAAUGGUAUUGGGGCUCUGGACGGCACACCCUUGUAUCAGUGUGUUUGUAGUUGUUGCACUUGUGAUUCUAUAGAAGAUUCUACACUUCUAGAAGUAUAAACAUCCAUCUCUAUUUGGUGUUUAUUCUAGUGUGACAAUGUGCAAGUAUUUACAUAUUGAAAGAUUAUUAUAUUAAAAGUACCACAGUUGGAGCGUUA